GCACUGGCAAAAUCCAGUGUCGGGAUUCGUACCCCGAUUGACUCCAAAGGCGCAUGUCGCCAGCUUCUUGCUGGUUUUUU
rnacentral:sRNA from 1 species